AUUACAAGAAUUUGUCAUCUUUUCAGUGAAUUGUUUAUUCUUACAUAAUAUGCGAAAGCCCCUCCUUUGGUAUAAAAAUACUGGAUUUCCCUCUCUGACUCUAAUGGGAAUGAGAUCCUUCUUCUGCGGCCUGACUAGAGUUGCUGGAACAGGUUAUCUCUCUUUGGCUUUUUCUACUUUCCCAAGUUAUUAGAGACAAUCAGGAAUCACUGCAGCAAUCCUGGCCCCCCAAAGACCUUAUUAUCCAAGAAGUUUGUUGUUGAAGGGUAGGAAAUUGAUAUGGUUUGGCUGUGUCCCCACCUAAAUCUCAUCUUGAAAUGUAGCUCCCACAAUUCCCACGUGUUGUGGGAGGGACCAGGUGGGAGGUAAUUGAAUCAUCAGGGUGGGUCUUCCAGGUGCUAUUCUCGUGGUAGUGAAUAAGUCUCACAAGAUCUGAUGGUGUUAUAAUCACCUGCUUCCUCUUUUGCUUGGCUCUCUUUCUCUCUCUCGCCUGCUGUGAUGUAAGACAUACCUUUCACCUUCUGCCAUGAUUGUGAAGCUUCCUCAGCCAUAUGGAACUGGAACCUGAUGGAAUAAACUGCUGUGAGAGGGAGUAUUGAAAGUAUACCUUUGUAAAUACAAUGGAGAAGAGCAAGUAUUCAACGCGUGGCUCAGAGGAGCCAUUUCCUCAUCAUAAAGAUGCAGUAGCCAUAAUUAUUCCAAUCAUCCAAAAGAGAAGACUUUAAAGUACAGUAGUUAGCCAUCAAAAAGAGAAGGCUAAUAUCCAGUUAUGAGAGCAUUUUCCCAAGAUACUUCUCCCCUGGACCUUGUUCCCAGGCUCCGUGUGAAGCUGAACACUCCGCAUGAUCUCCCUGCCACCAUAGCAAGCUAUGAAGUUCAUUACACAUGCAGGUAGCAGACAAUACAGCUCUGCUUCCAUUUCUGAGCACCUACGGUAGACUGCCAUUAUUCAGUGUGCCAGCCUGUUUCCAAGCCUACAAUGUAUAGUUCCUCUAGUACGUAAACUCAUUUUUUUUCUCAGAGAGCCAAGUAGAGACACAGGCAGUUUUCUUCUCAAAAUGUGCCAGAAAUUCCAAAACAAUCUCAAAGCAUUAAAGGCUAUGUGCACAAAGUACAUGCAGUUGUAGAGUCCCUCUUUUGCAGAAACUUGCACCUCAGCCCACCAGCAUUUCCUUGGUGCUUCUCCUCCUGACCCUCAUCCUCAUGCACAGACCAUUGGAUAUUACUGCACUCACGUACUUGUGUACUUCUUUCUAACAGCUGACUGAAAUCUUUCCUACAUUUUCAGGGUGAUGGGCAGAAAGUUUUUCUCAGGAAACAUUGUAGGGAAGCUGGCAGGGGACAGUUAUAUAUAUGGGGAGGGUCACAUUCUAUUAUUCAUGGGUUUCCG
rnacentral:lncRNA from 1 species